CUCAGGGCUUCUGCUCUGAGUUGCUCUGCGCUGUUUUUGUGUAAGUUUGGGAUUUUCUGUAGUGACUCUUUGCAGAAAUUACGUCCGUUGCCCUGUCCAGGCUGCUGUCAGGGUGAUGAAUCUGAACCUGUGGUCAGACACUGGGUGUGUGUAACUGCUUUUAAAACCACCUUGCGGAGGGCUUGCUGCAGGGGGUAUAGCUCAGUGGCAGAGCAUUUGACUGCAGAUCAAGAGGUCCCUGGUUCAACUCCAGGUGCCCCCUCUUUACCUCCUUUUCCAACCUUUCUUCUUUACAGACAGAAUAGGGAGAGACCUUCUUAUUCCCCAGAGGUUUUAGAAGUCACUUCAAGUUCUUUUGCCAAACUGUCAUGGUUUCAGCUGGGAGAGAACUAAUUUUCUUGGUUAAGGCUUGCAUGAUGCUGUGUUUUGGAUUUUUGAUUAAAAUAGUGGUGAUAAUACACUGAUGUUUUAGUUGCUGCAAAGCAGAGCUUCCACAGGACCAAGGACUUUUCUUCUCGUGCUGCCUUGCUGGGAGAAGGUUGGGAAUGCGCAAGCCAGGAGGGGGACACAGACCAAGACUGCUGACCCACACUGGCCAAAGAAAUACUCCGUACCAUAUGAUGCCGUGCAAUAAAAGCUGGGGUAAAGAAGGAGGCGGCUGACAACAUUUGGAGUUUCUUGGGCAGACAAAUGCCUUCAUGUAUGAUGAGCCGUGCUUUACUGGAAGUGGCUGAACGCCUGCCAGGUGAUGGGAAAUGGUGAAUUCAUUCCUUGUUUUGCUUUGUUUGUGGGCGCAGCUUGUGCUUUACCUAGUAAACUGCCUUUAUUACGA